UACGAGGGGGGCGAGCGUUGUUCGGAAUUAUUGGGCGUAAAGGGUGCGUAGGCGGUUUGGUAAGUCUUGUGUGAAAUCUCCGGGCUCAACUCGGAGCCUGCACGAGAAACUGCCGGGCUUGAGUGUGGGAGAGGUGAGUGGAAUUCCUGGUGUAGCGGUGAAAUGCGUAGAUAUCAGGAGGAACACCUGUGGCGAAAGCGGCUCACUGGACCAUAACUGACGCUGAUGCACGAAAGCUAGGGGAGCAAACAGG
rnacentral:rRNA from 1 species